GGAUUCCUUCCGGUGCGGCUGCAGCAGGGUGGCUGAGCUUUGUCACAGGAGAGGAAGCCAUGGUGUGCAUCCCUUGUAUUGUCAUUCCGGUUCUUCUUUGGGUCUACAAGAAAUUCCUUGAGCCCUACAUCUAUCCUGUUAUUGCUCCUUUCAUUAAGCGUGUGUGGUCCAAGAGAGCUGUGCAAGAAACAGCCACCAAACAAGGCCAAGGAGGCAGUGCUGGAAAUCUACAGGCACCUUCAGCCUCACAGAGAGAUAAGGGGUAUGAAUCUGGAACUUACAAGCAAAAAAACAGCUUUUGAGAGCUUUGCCCUCAUCCUCCACCCCAAACCGUCAUGUGUAAAUCUAAAGAAAUUCCAUCACUUUGGUUCUUACGGCAGAUCCUGCAUGAGUCUUCAUUGCCUGUGCUUACAAAAUUUGAAAGCAAUGGGGUUGCAAAUGGAAUUGCUGCAAAGGGAUCAACAGAAGUGUCUGACAAGAAAGCAGAUUAGAGGAAUUCAUUCCUACGGAUUUCAUUCUCCUUGUGUCCAACAUGAACUGGUGAUUGCUAUUUUUCACACUGAUACUUUGUUCUUUGCACAUUUCAGCUGAGUAAAACCCCUUACCACUUAAAGAAGAGGAUCUCUUUUGCCACUACAAUGGCAGCUAGCAAAUUUCUUAUAUGAAAUGUUUGAAAACUAUAUUAAGUUAUUCUUUGUUUUCCUCACUGGAGCCACUUUGCAUCUAUAAUCUAUUUGACAUGAUUAGAGAUUAGAUUAAAUAGUUUGUGGAUAGGUCUAGCUAAAUGUGUUGCUGCUUAGUUUUGCUCGCUGUGAGUGCAGUACUUCAGGCUUCCACUUGAAAACUGUAACCUUGGCCUAGUUAAAGAACUCCUAAUUACAUUGUGGCAAUAUAAAUAUUAUGGUCAAAAUUAUGAAGAGUAGAGCCUGCCAUGUGAAAUUUGUGGAUGAGCUAAAGGAGUAAUGCUGUGUGCAAAGUUCACUUAGCUUACUAGAAAUAAGUCUUGAUUUGAUAUUUUCAGUCAUUUUUUCUUUAACUUUCUACUUUUCUUUCCUGAAAAGGAUCGACAAAGACAUGAUACAAGAGAAUUGCUGCUUUACAUUCUGUUGCAGUGAUUUCAAAUGUUACAUGUCUAUCUUUCAGG